rnacentral:rRNA from 1 species
GAUGAACGCUGGCGGCGUGCCUAAUACAUGCAAGUCGAGCGAACGGACGAGAAGCUUGCUCCUCUGAUGUUAGCGGCGGACGGGUGAGUAACACGUGGAUAACCUACCUAUAAGACUGGGAUAACUUCGGGAAACCGGAGCUAAUACCGGAUAAUAUUUUGAACCGCAUGGUUCAAAAGUGAAAGACGGUCUUGCUGUCACUUAUAGAUGGAUCCGCGCUGCAUUAGCUAGUUGGUAAGGUAACGGCUUACCAAGGCAACGAUGCAUAGCCGACCUGGGAGGGUGAUCGGCCACACUGGAACUGAGACACGGUCCAGACUCCUACGGGAGGCAGCAGUAGGGAAUCUUCCGCAAUGGGCGAAAGCCUGACGGAGCAACGCCGCGUGAGUGAUGAAGGUCUUCGGAUCGUAAAACUCUGUUAUUAGGGAAGAACAUAUGUGUAAGUAACUGUGCACAUCUUGACGGUACCUAAUCAGAAAGCCACGGCUAACUACGUG